CGGACAGUGUCUGGUGGGUAGUUUGACUGGGGCGGUCUCCUCCUAAAGAGUAACGGAGGAGCACGAAGGUUGGCUAAUCCUGGUCGGACAUCAGGAGGUUAGUGCAAUGGCAUAAGCCAGCUUGACUGCGAGCGUGACGGCGCGAGCAGGUGCGAAAGCAGGUCAUAGUGAUCCGGUGGUUCUGAAUGGAAGGGCCAUCGCUCAACGGAUAAAAGGUACUCCGGGGAUAACAGGCUGAUACCGCCCAAGAGUUCAUAUCGACGGCGGUGUUUGGCACCUCGAUGUCGGCUCAUCACAUCCUGGGGCUGAAGUAGGUCCCAAGGGUAUGGCUGUUCGCCAUUUAAAGUGGUACGCGAGCUGGGUUUAGAACGUCGUGAGACAGUUCGGUCCCUAUCUGCCGUGGGCGCUGGAGAACUGAGGGGGGCUGCUCCUAGUACGAGAGGACCGGAGUGGACGCAUCACUGGUGUUCGGGUUGUCAUGCCAAUGGCACUGCCCGGUAGCUAAAUGCGGAAGAGAUAAGUGCUGAAAGCAUCUAAGCACGAAACUUGCCCCGAGAUGAGUUCUCCCUGAGACUUAGAGUCUCCUGAAGGAAC
rnacentral:rRNA from 1 species